CAACCUGAAAUGUAAAUGUGAAUCUGGCCUCUAUGGAUCCUGCGCUAAGGAAACAACUGAAUGUCCCUCAAAGUACGAUCGUUGUUCAGCAGCAACACAAGGCUAUUUUUCAGAUGAUAAGGUUUCUGAGCGGAACUACAAAGGUUGCAUUAUGUCUGAACUGUGUCUUAACUACUCUGUCAACUAUGGAGUUUACAGAAUUGUACAAAACAGCAGGUGCUGCAGUGAAGAUCUCUGCAACGCCCAGAUUAACUACACAAAACCUGUCUCCACUCCAAAUGGAAAAAAGUGCUUGAGCUGUGACGGAAAAAACUGCAUGAAAACCCUUAACUGUGCAGGGGAUGAAAACUACUGCAUUAAAGUAACAGGUAAGAGGCCAACAUGUUUGCA